rnacentral:rRNA from 1 species
UCAAAUAACCUAAGGCACACGGGGGAUACCUAGGCAUUCAGAGCCGAUGAAGGGCGUGGAAACCGACGAAAUGCUUCGAGGAGCUGGAAACAAGCUGUGAGUCGAAGAUUCCCGAAUGGGGCAACCUAUCAAACUCCUUCUUGAAUUCAUAGAGAAGGAAGAGACAACCUGGUGAAUUGAAACAUCUUAGUAGCCAGAGGAGAAGAAAGCAAACGCGAUUCCCUAAGUAGCGGCGAGCGAAAGGGGAUCAGCCUAAACCAGAGUACCCUUGGGUAUUCUGGGGUCGUGGGAGGAAAUAUAUACAAAGUAUCAAGUUUAGAUGAAGCAGCUGAAUCCUGCACCAGAGAGGGUGAAAGUCCCGUUGUCGAAAAACUUGAAUCGAUGUUUUUCUUAUCCCGAGUAGCAUGGGGCACGUGAAAUCCCGUGUGAAUCUGCGAGGACCACCUCGUAAGGCUAAAUACUCCUGAAUGACCGAUAGCGAACAAGUACCGCGAGGGAAAGGUGAAAGAGAACCCCUGACGGGGAGUGAAAUAGAACAUGAAACCGUGUGCGUACAAUCUGUAGGAGAGUUGUAAAACUUGACUGCGUACCUUUGGAAGAAUGGACUGGCGACUUAUAGGGAGUGGCUUGGUUAAAGACGAGAAACAUCUGAAGCCAGAGCGAAAGCAAGUCUGAAUAGGGCGACCCCGGUCACUUCUUAUGGACCCGAACCCAGAUGAUCUAACCAUGACCAGAUUGAAACUUAGGUAACACUAUGUGGAGGAUCGAAGGCAUCAAUGUUGAAAAAUUGUGCCAUGAGUUGUGGUUAGGGAUGAAAUUUCAAUCGAAUUUGGAGCUAGCUGGUUCUCCCCGAAAUGCGUUGAGGCGCAGCGGGUGACAAUACGAUCUGUCUAGGGGUAAAGCACUGUUUAGGUGCGGGCGGUGAGAGCCGUACCAAAUCUUGGCAAACUAAGAAUACUAGGCAUGACUUCUGUCACCCAGUGGGACUGUGCGGGAGAAGCUGCAUAGUCGAGAGGGAAACAGCCCAGAUCACCAGUUAAGGCCCCAAAAUGAUAGCUCAGUGGCAAAGGAGGUGAAAAUGCAGAAACAACCAGGAGGUUUGCUUAGAAGCAGCCACCCUUUAAAGAGUGCGUAAUAGCUCACUGGUGGAGCGUUUUUGCGCCGAAAAUGUACGGGACUAAGCUAUCUGCCGACACUGUGGGAUACUGACACUUUGUCAGUAUCGGUAGGGGAGCGUUCUGGAAUGGGUGAAGUUUAUCCGUAAGGGUAGGUGGACGUUUCAGAAGUGAGAAUGUCAGUUUGAGUAGCGAAAACAUUGGUGAGAAUCCAAUGCCCCGAAAACCUAAGGGUUCCUUCACUAGGCUCGUCCAUGGAGGGUUAGCCAGGUCCUAAGGCGAGGCCGAAAGGCGUAGUCGAUGGCAAACAGGUUAAUAUUCCUGUGCUUGAUUGAUCUCAGUACCGAGGGACGAAGGUGGUUCACAUUAGCCAAGACUGGUAUUUGGUGUAAGCUUGCGAGGCGUUGACAGUACGAAGAAAAACGUAUCUGGAGCGAAGCAGUGAUGCAGUGUCAGAUAUUGACGAGUUUGUUCGCAUGCUCGUCGAGCUGAUGCUUAAUGUAAAGAAUCUUUCUUCCUAGAAAAGCUCGAACUACAUAUGUGAUCAAUGAACCUGUACCCGAAACCGACACAGGUAGGUAAGUAGAGAAUACUAAGGGGCGCGGGAGAACUCUCUCUAAGGAACUCGGCAAAAUAGCCCCGUAACUUCGGGAGAAGGGGUGCCCUGUAAAAAGGGCCGCAGUGACCAGGCCCAGCCGACUGUUUACCAAAAACACAGGUCUCCGCAAAGUCGUAAGACAAUCUAUGGGGGCUGACGCCUGCCCAGUGCCGGACGGUCAAGGAAGUUGGUUAUUCGUAAGAAGACGCUGACAACUGAAGCCCCGGUGAACGGCGGCCGUAACUAUAACGGUCCUAAGGUAGCGAAAUUCAUUGUCGGGUAAGUUCCGACCCGCACGAAAGGCGUAACGUUCUGGGCGCUGUCUCGGAGUGAGACCCGGCGAAAUAGACAUAGCCGUGAAGAUGCGGAUUACUUACACUGGGACAGAAAGACCCUAUGAAGCUAUACUGUAGC